rnacentral:rRNA from 1 species
UGCGUAGGAGGGCAGGUAAGUCAGUGGUGAAAUCUCCAAGCUUAACUUGGAAACUGCCGUUGAUACUAUCUGUCUUGAAUACCGUGGAGGUGAGCGGAAUAUGUCAUGUAGCGGUGAAAUGCUUAGAUAUGACAUAGAACACCAAUUGCGAAGGCAGCUCGCUACACGGAUAUUGACUCUGAGGCACGAAAGCGUGGGGAUCAAACA